AAUCAACGCUGGCGGCGUGCCUAACACAUGCAAGUCGAACGCGAAAGCCCCUUAGGGGGCAAGUAGAGUGGCGUCCGGGUGAGUAACACGUGGGUAAUCUACCUCCGGGUGGGGAAUAACUCGCCGAAAGGCGGGCUAAUACCGCAUAAUGCAGCGGCACCGAAUGGUGAUUAGUUGUUAAAGCGGGGGACCUUAGGGCCUCGCGUCUGGAGAGGAGCCUGCGGCAGAUUAGCUUGUUGGAGGGUAAUGGCCUACCAAGGCUGCGAUCUGUAGCUGGUCUGAGAGGACGGCCAGCCACACUGGCACUGACACACGGGCCAGACUCCUACGGGAGGCAGCAGUGGGGAAUUUUGGGCAAUGGGCGAAAGCCUGACCCAGCAACGCCGCGUGAAGGAGGAAAUCCUUCGGGAUGUAAACUUCACAAGCAAGGGAAGAGCGCGCAGGGUCGAAUAAACUCUGCGUCCGACGGUACCUUGCGUAGCCACGGCUAACUACGUGCCAGCCGCCGC
rnacentral:rRNA from 1 species